rnacentral:rRNA from 1 species
GCAAAACGCGAAGAACCUUACCUACUCUUGACAUCCAGAGAACUUAGCAGAGAUGCUUUGGUGCCUUCGGGAACUCUGAGACAGGUGCUGCAUGGCUGUCGUCAGCUCGUGUUGUGAAAUGUUGGGUUAAGUCCCGCAACGAGCGCAACCCUUAUCCUUUGUUGCCAGCGGUUAGGCCGGGAACUCAAAGGAGACUGCCAGUGAUAAACUGGAGGAAGGUGGGGAUGACGUCAAGUCAUCAUGGCCCUUACGAGUAGGGCUACACACGUGCUACAAUGGCGCAUACAAAGAGAAGCGACCUCGCGAGAGCAAGCGGACCUCAUAAAGUACGUCGUAGUCCGGAUUGGAGUCUGCAACUCGACUCCAUGAAGUCGGAAUCGCUAGUAAUCGUAGAUCAGAAUGCUACGGUGAAUACGUUCCCGGGUCUUGUACACACCG